CCAACAGCAGAUUGACAGUACAUUAUGUGAUGUAUUUGCAUUGAAAUUUGCAGAGUGUCUCCUGAAAAAGGAAAAUAUUAGUAUUCCUGCCACAAAAGCUGUGAUAAACAGACGGAGGCUGGACAUUGCUGUUACCCUUCUCCUGGACAUUGAUUCAGUGUUUGGCGUGGAUCCACCAAGAAUGCCUUCAAGGCCCACCAUCAGCAGAGGAAAGUUUUAUUUGCAUCGCAUGUAAAUGUUUUUAGUAGAGCAGUCAAAUUAUUUUAUUUUAUUUUUUUAAGUCAGAUUAAUCACUUGUUGGUAUUUUGAUUAAUCAUGAUUAAUGACAGGUGAUUAAUCUAUUGCAAAAUGGAAGUUAGUUUACACAGAUACAAUUUUAUUCUGAGAAUGUAUUCCAGGAAAGUUUUUAUACGUUUCACUUGAAUCCAUGUCAUUUACAGUAUUUGCACAAAACUUAGAAAACAGUUUUAUCUCAAAUUCUUCAAGGGUGUAUUCUGUAAGUGAAUGGGUCUUCUCACUCGUUGUUGUACGGACUUAUGCAUUGAUCUGAUCACGGACCGUAUAGCAGUUGAGCUUAAAGAGCGUGUAAGGCCAAAAUAAAUUGCAUGAUUAAACUUAAGUCUGUACAUGAUUACUGAUAUAAUAUUUUCUGAUUAAUUACAUGAUUAUCUUGUUAUUUUGACAGCCCAAGUUCCUAUUAAUAUGUAUAGAUUGUUAAA